rnacentral:rRNA from 1 species
GACGAACGCUGGCGGCGUGCUUAACACAUGCAAGUCGAACGGAAAGGCCCUGCUUUUGUGGGGUGCUCGAGUGGCGAACGGGUGAGUAACACGUGAGUAACCUGCCCUUGACUUUGGGAUAACUUCAGGAAACUGGGGCUAAUACCGGAUAGGAGCUCCUGCUGCAUGGUGGGGGUUGGAAAGUUUCGGCGGUUGGGGAUGGAUUCGCGGCUUAUCAGCUUGUUGGUGGGGUAGUGGCUUACCAAGGCUUUGACGGGUAGCCGGCCUGAGAGGGUGACCGGCCACAUUGGGACUGAGAUACGCCCCAGACUCCUACGGGAGGCAGCAGUGGGGAAUAUUGCACAAUGGGCGGAAGCCUGAUGCAGCAACGCCGCGUUCGUGAUGACGGCCUUCGGGUUGUAAACCGCUUUCGCCUGUGACGAAGCGUGAGUGACGGUAAUGGGUAAAGAAGCACCGGCUAACUACGUG